rnacentral:rRNA from 1 species
UACGGAGGAUGCAAGCGUUAUCCGGAAUGAUUGGGCGUAAAGCGUCCGCAGGUGGUUUUGAAAGUCUGCUGUUAAAUAGUCUAGCUCAACUAGAUAAAGGCAGUGGAAACUACAUGGCUAGAGUGCGUUCGGGGCAGAGGGAAUUCCUGGUGUAGCGGUGAAAUGCGUAGAUAUCAGGGAGAACACCGGUGGCGAAAGCGCUCUGCUAGGCCGCAACUGACACUGAGGGACGAAAGCUAGGGGAGCGAAUGGG